AUGGCCGGGCGGUCGCCGUUCACCAACCUCGACCCCGUGACGGCGGCCGACUUGCAGCGCAGGGGCUUCAACCCGCUCGAGCUGGACCGAGCCACGGAGCAGCUGCUCACGUACGUCUACACCAGCCUCAUCCCCGACUUCCCCUUCCUCGCCACCGGGCGGCUCGCCGCCCGCCCCGCCUCCGACGGCGUCGACCGCAUCAGCCGCCUCCCGCGCGCGCUCCUGCGCGACAUCGUCUCCCGCCUCCCCGUUACGGACGCGGCGCGCACGGCCGUGCUCUCCUCCCGCUGGCGCACGGUCUGGCUCUCCGCGCCGCCCGUCCUGGUCGACGCCUACCUCGGGGAGGACGACUACGCCUGGCCCCCCACGCCGGCCAACUCGCCCGCCAUCACCGCCGCCGUCUCCCGCGUCCUCGAGGCGCACCCGGGCCCCUUCCGCCACGUCCACCUCGUCUGCAGCCACAUGAACGCGUACCGGGCCCGGCUCGCGCGCUGGCUCCAGCUCCUCGCCGCCAAGGGCGUCCAGGACCUCGUCCUCGUCAACCGCCCCUGGCCGUGCGACGUGCCCCUCCCCGACGCGCUCUUCGCCAUCAGCACCCUCGUCCGCCUCCACAUCGGCCUCUGGAAGUUGCCGGACACGGCCCGCCUGGGAAGUUACCGGACGUUUCCCCACCUCCGCGAGCUUGGCAUCUGCAGCGUCGUAAUGGAGGAGGGGGACGUCGACGCCAUCGUCGCCAGGAGUCCCGUCCUGGAGGUCCUGAGCAUCCAGGGAAGCAGCAAGGGGCUGCGUCUCCGCCUCGUCAGCCAGAGCCUACGGUGCGUGCAGAUCUGCGGUUCUGUUGUGGAAGACAUUGCCGUGGUGAAGGUCCCAUGCCUCGAGCGGCUCAUCCUGCAUGGAUGCCGGGAUCUGGCUGGUGGCAUGUGUACCAGGAUCAGGAUUCUUGAUGCCCCCAAUCUGCGCGUGGUCGGAUUCUUGGAGCCAGCAAAUCAUGUCCUUAAGAUCGGAGACACCAUCAUAAGGGCUGGGAUGAAGGAGAGCACAGCCACAAUUCUCACAAGCGUGAAGAUCCUCAGCUUAAAUGUGCGUUUCGGUAUCCGCAGCGAGGCAGAGAUGGUGCCCAGGUUCCUCAAAUGCUUUCCCAAUGUGAAGACACUGCAUAUCAUGUCUGGAAAAUGCAAUCAGUCCACUGGUACGCUCAACCUCAAGUUCAAGGAGGUUCCCAUUGAAAGUGCCAUGUUGGGCAUCUCAGAGAUGUAUUUCCGUGAGUUCCGAGGGGAUGAAGGCGAGGUUGCCUUCCUCAAGUCGUUGUUCAAGAGUGCGGAUGUGCUGGAGAUGGCGGUGAUUAUGAUGGCAAAUCCAAGCUUCACGCAGUUUUCACCAGAUGACGCACUUUCCAAGGUGAAGAGUGCUUCUGAGCUCAGUAGAUCCUCCGGCAAAGUGGUGGUGGUUGUGAGUGGAGGUCCUGAAGGAGGAAGACCGUGGAGUUUCCAGAAAGGAACUGAUUUUUCAUGCGAGGACCCUUUUUCAGUAGUUGUGGAGAACCUUCGCAAAGCUUAG
rnacentral:rRNA from 1 species